rnacentral:rRNA from 1 species
GCAAGUCGAACGGUGAAGGAGAGCUUGCUCUCUGGAUCAGUGGCGAACGGGUGAGUAACACGUGAGCAAUCUGCCCCUGACUCUGGGAUAACAGUUGGAAACAGCUGCUAAUACCGGAUACGAGCUUCGAAGGCAUCUUCAGAAGCUGGAAAGAACUUCGGUCAGGGAUGAGCUCGCGGCCUAUCAGCUAGUUGGUGAGGUAAUGGCUCACCAAGGCGUCGACGGGUAGCCGGCCUGAGAGGGUGACCGGCCACACUGGGACUGAGACACGGCCCAGACUCCUACGGGAGGCAGCAGUGGGGAAUAUUGCACAAUGGGCGCAAGCCUGAUGCAGCAACGCCGCGUGAGGGACGACGGCCUUCGGGUUGUAAACCUCUUUUAGCAGGGAAGAAGCGAAAGUGACGGUACCUGCAGAAAAAGCGCCGGCUAACUACGUGCCAGCAGCCGCGGUAAUACGUAGGGCGCAAGCGUUAUCCGGAAUUAUUGGGCGUAAAGAGCUCGUAGGCGGUUUGUCGCGUCUGCUGUGAAAACUGGAGGCUCAACCUCCAGCCUGCAGUGGGUACGGGCAGACUAGAGUGCGGUAGGGGAGAUUGGAAUUCCUGGUGUAGCGGUGGAAUGCGCAGAUAUCAGGAGGAACACCGAUGGCGAAGGCAGAUCUCUGGGCCGUAACUGACGCUGAGGAGCGAAAGGGUGGGGAGCAAACAGGCUUAGAUACCCUGGUAGUCCACCCCGUAAACGUUGGGAACUAGUUGUGGGGUCCAUUCCACGGAUUCCGUGACGCAGCUAACGCAUUAAGUUCCCCGCCUGGGGAGUACGGCCGCAAGG